rnacentral:lncRNA from 1 species
CGUAACUCUUGGGGAGGAUCUGCGCCCGUUGGUAAACGAGGACGCGCCCCAGUCAGACGCGCCCCAGGCACGGGGUCCCCGGGGCUCCCGGCCGCGCCGUCGGAGCACCCGGCGCGGCCCCGCCCUCCCCGCGCGCGGAGCGGCCGGGGCGGGGACUACAAGUCCCGGCGUGCCGCGCGCGCCUCCCCCUAGGGUUCCGGAUGGUGAGCGGCGAAGGUAAGGCGAGCUCGCAGAGGCAUCGGCGGCGGCGGCGGAGACGGAGAGAGGCAGGCAGGCAGGGCGAGGGCGAGAGACGGAGGGAGCGAGCGAGGCGGACCAGACAGACAGACAGGCGGGCGGGCGGGCAGAGCGAGCCACCCGCCAGGCUGCGCUCAGCCCCGCUCGCAGCGGAGAGAGCAGAAGGCAGGAGGAGGGAGGGGAGGAGGGGGAGGGAGGGAGAGAGGGAAUCCAGCUACCACCACCCAAAGCCAGCGUCUGCUUUCUGUCCUCAUUUCCUUUUCCCACCCAGCUUGGAGAGCAGAGAAAGGCAGAGAGAGCGAGAAAUAGAGACAGUCUGAGAGACAGACAGACAGCCAGAGAGAGCGGGAGGGAGGAGGGCGGAGGAGGAGGAGCAGGAGGACUACGCGGGGCGCGUUCCCUCCCAGGUUUGCAAUUGGGGGGGUGGGGGCGGGGGUGUCCAGGGCUGGGAGAGUGUGUGCGCGGCGGGAGGGCGAGGGGAGCGCAGAGAGCGAAGGAGUGAUCGAGGUGGGGGGGCGCCGCGGGAGCGGGGCCGUGUCCAGCGGAGUUAGCGGCGGAGAAUGUGAGCCGAGGCGCGAGCCAUGCUGUCAGCGACGGCGGGCGGCUCAGGGCUCUUCCACGACUCCUCUCCUCAGCAGCCGGGCGCCCGCGUCGCUGCCACCGCCGGAAGACAGACGCCCCCUAAAACCCCUCGCUUGGCUCGGACCCACGGAGCCGGCAGCCCAGCACUCCGGCCUCCCCCUCUUCCCAGAGCCUCCUCUGCCUGGGGAGGCAUCUCCACCCCUUCACCGCCCCAGGCUCUUCAUUCCUGGACAGUGAGGCUGGACAUCUGGUUCAAAGCUGCCCCACCCAAGACCCUGUGCUCUGGGCACCCUGGCCUGGGCUUGAAGGUUUGGGGCCCCUUUGGGGUGGGGGCAGAGCCUGUUGGCACCUGGUCACCCUGGUCUUUCAGCCAGGAAACUCUCAGUACCCAGCCCUGCCCUGGCUCUGGCAUGUAUGUGGGAGAGGGGGACAGGGGGAGUUGCCCCCAGCCUACACUUUUUGAAGUGCUUGCCAAAUCACUGCCCCCUUCCCCAACCCCUUGGCUCACCUGA